rnacentral:lncRNA from 1 species
UAAGAAUUCAAUAGUGUGAACUUUACAUAGUUAUAUGGGAAUUUUGCAAUGUCAGUUUUAAAAUUUGAACUGGAUAAUUUUUCUCCUGAAGGCUUCAGACAUGAGCAUGCUUCCAACUCAUGUUUUGCUUUACCCUGUUUGACUGAACUCUCUGGUGAUUCUAGUCAACUGGAACUUCAGCACUCCAGUUCUGUCCCGACUGAUGACCCUUCUUGCUGUGUCCUCACAUGAUGGAAGAAGUGAGAAGUCUUUCUUGAAUCUCAUCUAUAAAAGCAAUUAGUCUAUUCGUGAGGUCUCUGCCCCCAUGACCUAAUCACAUGCCAAAGCCCCCACCUCCAGACACUAUCACCUCAGAGGUUAGGAUUUCAAUAUAAGAAUUGGGGGUAGGCCGGGCACUGUGGCUCACACCUGUAAUCCCAGCACUUUGGGAGGCCUAGGCGGGAGGAUCACGAAGUCAGGAGAUCGAGACCAUCCUGGCUAACACUGUGACACCCCGUCUGUACU